GCCGGGCGUGGUGGUGCACGCCUGUAAUCCCAGCUACUCAGGAGGCUGAGGCAGGAGAAUUGCUUGAACCCAGGAGAUGGAGGUUGCAGUGAGCCGAGAUCAUGCCACUGCACUCCAGCCUGGGUGACAGAGUGAGACUCUGUCUCAA
rnacentral:SRP_RNA from 1 species